UUUCAAACAUUGUCUUAUGAAUAAAAUAUUAGAUAAUUCCUGCCCAGUGACACUUGUUCAACGGCCGCGGUAUCCUAACCGUGCAAAGGUAGCAUAAUCAUUUGCCUAUUAAUUGUAGGCUGGAAUGAAGGGGUUAACGAAAUAAAAACUGUCUCAAUUAAUUAACUAAAAAUUAUUUUCUAUCCGAAGAAAGGUAGAUAAUCUCGAAGGACAAGAAGACCCUAUAGAGCUUAAUUUUAAUUAUAGAACUACACUAUAAAAAUAUUCGGUUGGGGCGACCCAGGGCUAAAUAAUCACCCAUUAAAUAAAAGAUAAAUCUAUCUAAUAAAUGACCCUUGAAGAUCAUAAAAACAAGCUACCUUAGGGAUAACAGGCUAAUCCCACUCAAGAGUCCUUAUCAACAGUGGGGUUUGGCACCUCGAUGUUGGCUUAGGGUAUCUCUAUAACGCAAAAGUUAUAUGAAGAUGGUUUGUUCAACCAAUAAUUCCCUACGUGACAU
rnacentral:rRNA from 1 species